rnacentral:rRNA from 1 species
UGAGUACGAGAUGCUACGGCAUCGAAGCAGUCUAUGUCAUACUUCCAAGAAAAGCUUGCAAUGUCAUAAACAAAUAAUGCCUGUACCAUAACCGAUACAGGUGGGUAGGUAGAGUAUACUAAGGGGCGCGAGAUAACUCUCUCUAAGGAACUCGGCAAAAUGACUCCGUAACUUCGGGAGAAGGAGUGCCUUAUUUUUAUAAGGUUGCAAUAACAAGAUCCAAGCAACUGUUUACCAAAAACACAGGUCUCCGCUAAGUCGUAAGACGAUGUAUGGGGGCUGACGCCUGCCCAGUGCCAGAAGGUUAAAGAAGUUGGUUAGCAUUAGCGAAGCUGAUAACUGAAGCCCUGGUGAACGGCGGCCGUAACUAUAACGGUCCUAAGGUAGCGAAAUUCCUUGUCGGGUAAGUUCCGACCCGCACGAAAGGCGUAAUGAUUUGGAUACUGUCUCGGAGAGGGGCUCGGUGAAAUAGACUUGUCUGUGAAGAUGCGGACUACCUGCACCUGGACAGAAAGACCCUAUGAAGCUUUACUGUAACUUGAGAUUGAAAUUGGACUUUAUCUGCGCAGUAUAGGUGGGAGACGUUGAAAAUAUUCUUGCGGGAAUAUUGGAGUCAUCAGUGAGAUACCACUCUUAUAAUGUUAGAUUUCUAACUUUGUAUCAUUAUCUGGUCAAAGAACAGUUUCAGGCGGGCAGUUUGACUGGGGCGGUCGCCUCCCAAACGGUAACGGAGGCGCACAAAGGUUUCCUCUGAACGUGUAGAAAUCGUAUCUAGAGUGUAAAGGCAUAAGGAAGCUUGACUGUGAGACCUACAAGUCGAGCAGGGACGAAAGUCGGUCUUAGUGAUCUGACGGUGCUGAGUGGAAAGGCCGUCACUCAACGGAUAAAAGUUACUCUAGGAUAACAGGCUGAUCUCCCCCAAGAGUUCACAUCGACGGGGAGGUUUGGCACCUCGAUGUCGGCUCAUCGCAUCCUGGGGCGGUAGUACGUCCCAAGGGUUGGGCUGUUCGCCCAUGAAAGCGGUACGCGAGCUGGGUUCAGAACGUCGUGAGACAGUUCGGUCCAUAUCCGGUGUAGGCGUUAGAAUAUUGAGAGGAGCCUUCUUUAGUACGAGAGGACCGAGAAGGACAUACCUCUGGUGUACUGUUAUCGUGCCAACGGUAAACGCUGGGUAGCCAUGUAUGGAGAGGAUAACCGCUGAAAGCAUCUAAGUGGGAAGCCCACCUCAAGAUAAG